GGAUCUGGAAUUGUUUAUCUCAGCUGUACGCCAAAGACAUCACUACUCCUGAUGAUAAACAAGAGCUUGAUGAGGCUUUACAGCAGGAGGUGGAUGUUCGAAAGGAUCUGAUAAGAAAUUUUGCAAACACGAUUGAUCUUGAUCAGCUAGAUAUUUGAUGGUGCAACUUAUUGUGAAGCUGAAUGUUUUCCUCAGUAACCAUAACACAGAUA